rnacentral:misc_RNA from 1 species
GUAAAAUUGGUCCAAAAAAAAAAAAAUCAACAACUAUAAAAGCACCUGUAUAUGGAGAUAUGGGUGAUGAAGGGGAGAGUAAGAGGCAAACCAAACCAGUUCCUAUUGAAUUCUCUUUUGUAUCUUUUUUUUUUUUUUUUGACCAAUUUUACAGCACAAAAACCACUACAAAAAUCACUCGGCCUCUCUCAACAUCAAGAAUGCCUACCCUGAACUGCUAUUACUGUCCUGAACCUUGAGAAUCAUCCUCAGCAGGAUUCUGCUGUUGGUGCUGCUGUUGCUGUUGCACUCUUGCCUGCCCCAUCUGCUGAUAAAUCUGACUCAAAGUCUGCGGGUUCAAAACCCCAAUAUGGCCAUCCUGUGAUAAACCAAGCUCCAAGCCAGGUAGCUGCUGGUUACUCCCACCCAAAAAUGAGGUAAAACUCAUGGGACCCAUACUGUUUCCUGGCAAGUCAAAACCAGGAAACUCAAUUUUUUGCAAAUAACUAGAACUCUCACUCCCCAAAUUUGUUGUUGCUGGACCAGUGGUAGAUGAUGACUGGAACCCAAACCCACCUACUGGGGGCCAUAAUCCUGUUGUUGCCACAUGAUGGGGUCGAGCUAAAUUGCCACCUAUCAUUGCCCAACUAGUCCUACUACUACUGGACCCACCUAAUUC